AGAGUUUGAUCCUGGCUCAGGACGAACGCUGGCGGCGUGCCUAAUACAUGCAAGUAGAACGCUGAAGAGAGGAGCUUGCUCUUCUUGGAUGAGUUGCGAACGGGUGAGUAACGCGUAGGUAACCUGCCUUGUAGCGGGGGAUAACUAUUGGAAACGAUAGCUAAUACCGCAUAACAAUGGAUGACUCAUGUCAUUCAUUUGAAAGGGGCAAAUGCUCCACUACAAGAUGGACCUGCGUUGUAUUAGCUAGUAGGUGAGGUAACGGCUCACCUAGGCGACGAUACAUAGCCGACCUGAGAGGGUGAUCGGCCACACUGGGACUGAGACACGGCCCAGACUCCUACGGGAGGCAGCAGUAGGGAAUCUUCGGCAAUGGGGGCAACCCUGACCGAGCAACGCCGCGUGAGUGAAGAAGGUUUUCGGAUCGUAAAGCUCUGUUGUAAGUCAAGAACGAGUGUGAGAGUGGAAAGUUCACACUGUGACGGUAGCUUACCAGAAAGGGACGGCUAACUACGUGCCAGCAGCCGCGGUAAUACGUAGGUCCCGAGCGUUGUCCGGAUUUAUUGGGCGUAAAGCGAGCGCAGGCGGUUUGAUAAGUCUGAAGUUAAAGGCUGUGGCUCAACCAUAGUUCGCUUUGGAAACUGUCAAACUUGAGUGCGGAAGGGGAGAGUGGAAUUCCAUGUGUAGCGGUGAAAUGCGUAGAUAUAUGGAGGAACACCGGUGGCGAAAGCGGCUCUCUGGUCUGUAACUGACGCUGAGGCUCGAAAGCGUGGGGAGCGAACAGGAUUAGAUACCCUGGUAGUCCACGCCGUAAACGAUGAGUGCUAGGUGUUGGAUCCUUUCCGGGAUUCAGUGCCGCAGCUAACGCAUUAAGUACUCCGCCUGGGGAGUACGACCGCAAGGUUGAAACUCAAAGGAAUUGACGGGGGCCCGCACAAGCGGUGGAGCAUGUGGUUUAAUUCGAAGCAACGCGAAGAACCUUACCAGGUCUUGACAUCCCGAUGCUAUUUCUAGAGAUAGAAAGUUACUUCGGUACAUCGGUGACAGGUGGUGCAUGGUUGUCGUCAGCUCGUGUCGUGAGAUGUUGGGUUAAGUCCCGCAACGAGCGCAACCCCUAUUGUUAGUUGCCAUCAUUCAGUUGGGCACUCUAGCGAGACUGCCGGUAAUAAACCGGAGGAAGGUGGGGAUGACGUCAAAUCAUCAUGCCCCUUAUGACCUGGGCUACACACGUGCUACAAUGGUUGGUACAACGAGUUGCGAGUCGGUGACGGCAAGCUAAUCUCUUAAAGCCAAUCUCAGUUCGGAUUGUAGGCUGCAACUCGCCUACAUGAAGUCGGAAUCGCUAGUAAUCGCGGAUCAGCACGCCGCGGUGAAUACGUUCCCGGGCCUUGUACACACCGCCCGUCACACCACGAGAGUUUGUAACACCCGAAGUCGGUGAGGUAACCUUUUGGAGCCAGCCGCCUAAGGUGGGAUAGAUGAUUGGGGUGAAGUCGUAACAAGGUA
rnacentral:rRNA from 1 species